GAUAAACGCUGGCGGCGUGCAUGAGACAUGCAAGUCAUACGGGCGAGCUUGCUCGCUAGUGGCGAACGGCUGAGUAACGCGUAGGUGACCUGCCCCGAAGUGGGGGAUAACUGCCCGAAAGGGUGGCUAAUACCGCAUGUGGCGACGCUUUCAGUAGCGUCAUCAAAGCCGCGAGGCGCUUCGGGAGGGGCCUGCGUCCGAUUAGCUCGUUGGUGGGGUAACGGCUCACCAAGGCGACGAUCGGUAGGUGGUCUGAGAGGACGAUCACCCAGACUGGGACUGAGACACGGCCCAGACUCCUACGGGAGGCAGCAGUCGGGAAUUUUGCUCAAUGGGGGAAACCCUGAAGCAGCAACGCCGCGUGCGGGAUGAAGGCCUUCGGGUUGUAAACCGCUUUUACCAGGGACGAUAAUGACGGUACCUGGUGAAUAAGCCACGGCUAACUACGUGCCAGCCGCCGCCGUAAGAC
rnacentral:rRNA from 1 species